AUUGAACGCUGGCGGCAGGCUUAACACAUGCAAGUCGAGCGGGGUGAUGGUGCUUGCACUAUCACUUAGCGGCGGACGGGUGAGUAAUGCUUAGGAAUCUGCCUAUUAGUGGGGGACAACAUCUCGAAAGGGAUGCUAAUACCGCAUACGUCCUACGGGAGAAAGCAGGGGAUCACUUGUGACCUUGCGCUAAUAGAUGAGCCUAAGUCGGAUUAGCUAGUUGGUGGGGUAAAGGCCUACCAAGGCAACGAUCCAUAGCUGGUCUGAGAGGAUGACCAGCCACACUGGGACUGAGACACGGCCCAGACUCCUACGGGAGGCAGCAGCGGGGAAUAUUGGACAAUGGGGGCAACCCUGAUCCAGCGAUGCCGCGUGUGUGAAGAAGGCCCUAGGGUUGUAAAGCACUUUCAGUUGAGAGGAACGGUUUAUGGCUAAUAUCCAUAAGCUUUGACGUUACCAACAGAAGAAGCACCGGCUAACUCUGUGCCAGCCGCCGCAGUAA
rnacentral:rRNA from 1 species